rnacentral:misc_RNA from 1 species
GAUGAAGAACGCAGCGAAAUGCGAUAAGUAAUGUGAAUUGCAGAAUUCAGUGAAUCAUCGAAUCUUUGAACGCACAUUGCGCCCGCCAGUAUUCUGGCGGGCAUGCCUGUUCGAGCGUCAUUUCAACCCUCAAGCCCCAGCGGCCUGGUGUUGGGGACCGGCGACCUCGCCCGAGCCCGCCCUCCGGGGCGCGUGCCCGGUGCGUCCGCCGCCCCCGAAAUGAAUUGGCGGCCUCGUCGCGGCCUCCUCUGCGUAGUAGCACAACCUCGCAAGCGGGAGCGCGACGCGGCCACUGCCGUAAAACGCCCAACUUUUUUAGAGUUGACCUCGGAUCAGGUAGGAAUACCCGCUGACCUUAAGCAUAUCAAUAAGCGGAGGA